rnacentral:tRNA from 1 species
GGAGUUGUGGCUCAGUGGGAGAGCACUUGCCUGGCAUGUAUGAGGCCCUGGGUUUGAUCCUCAGCACUGCA